CUUAAUAUUCCUUUGCUUGCUUAUAUAUAUCUUUAUACCUACAAUAAGAUGAUAAGCAAAAAGAAAAACCAAAUCUUUCCUUAACUUCGAAGGUUUAGAAAGGAAAGAAAAAUUGGGCAAGUUUCAGUGAUUUUAUUGAUCAAUUAUGGUAGAAUCCACGCCGCACCGAGUACAAGGAUAUCCUGGGGAGAACAGCCCUGGACGCUCAGCAGGGAAGACGAAAUGUUGUCCAACUUCAACAAAGAAAGGGGAUGGAGGGUUCAUGAAUUUGCUCUGCAAGGCUUUGGGCUGCUGUGGACUCCUUUCAGCUUGCUAUGAACCUCGUACUUCUCAGCAAAAAGGAUAGGAGCUACAAAUGGCAAAGAUCAUUUCAAAAUAUUAAAAUUUGAAAAUGAAAAAUUAUUUUUGUUUCUUUAACAAAUCAUUUAUGUAAAUGAGGGAGACUACUUGCUAUUUAUACAAUAACUUUAUCCUUUUUCAACUUUCAGAAUUUUGCCUACCUAAAGCAAAAAUAAAUUACAGUUUUUAAUUAAUUGAUUUGAGACUACAAGC